UACGUAGGGGGCAAGCGUUGUCCGGAAUCAUUGGGCGUAAAGCGCGUGUAGGCGGCUCGAUAAGUCUGCUGUGAAAGUCCAGGGCUCAACCCUGGGAUGCCGGUGGAUACUGUCGAGCUCGAGUCCGGAAGAGGCGAGUGGAAUUCCUGGUGUAGCGGUGAAAUGCGCAGAUAUCAGGAAGAACACCCGUGGCGAAGGCGGCUCUCUGGUACGUGACUGACGCUGAGACGCGAAAGCGUGGGGAGCGAACAGG
rnacentral:rRNA from 1 species